AGGAUGAACGCUGGCGGCGUGCCUAACACAUGCAAGUCGAACGUCUCUUCUUUCGGGAAGAGGAGUGGCGGACGGGUGAGGAACACGUGGGAACCUGCCCUUUAGUGAGGAAUACCGGCGAGAAAUCGCCGACAAGACCGCAUAGCCCUCUUUGAUGAGAGUCAAAGAAGGAAAGCUUCGCAAGAGGCGCUAGAGGAGGGGCCUGCGUCCGAUUAGCUAGUUGGUGGGGUAAGAGCCUACCAAGGCGUCGAUCGGUAGCUGGUCUGAGAGGACGAUCAGCCACACUGGGAUUGAGAACGGCCCAGACUCCUACGGGGGGCAGCAGUGAGGAAUUUUCGGCAAUGGGGGAAACCCUGACCGAGCAACGCCGCGUGCAGGAAGACGGCCUUCGGGUUGUAAACUGCUUUCUUUGGGAAGUAGGAAGGACGGUACCAGAGGAAUCAGCCCGGCUCACUACGUGCCAGCAGCCGC
rnacentral:rRNA from 1 species